rnacentral:lncRNA from 1 species
UAUUUCUAUCUGCAUUGUUUAACUCUGUGUACAAAACAUAAUAGUGACUUUGAUGUCCCUGUAUUUCCCACAUAUUAGUGCCCCCGUGAAAGCUUUCAAAUAAAAACCGACCUAAAUAAUGUCCACUUAAAAAAAAAGUAGGGAGACCCAAAGGUAUAUAAUCACUUCACUCCAAUUUUGAUAGGUUUUUCAAAACAACUUGUAGGUAGAAAAAACAACUACUACUACUCCUUUUUCCUUCCCCUCCUCCUCCUCUUCCUCCUCCUCCUCCCCCUUCCUCCCCCCACCCCCACCCCAGUCGUCAUCUUGGUACAGGCUCUUGCUAUGUAUCUCUAGCUAGCCUAAAACUGGUUUUGUAGACCAGGCUGGCCUUGAAGUCCCAGGGAUCCUGUCUGUGCCUCUCACAUGUGUUAAGACUAAAGGCAUGUGCCACCAAACCCAGCUAAAAUAUAUUUAUAUUUUAAAGAAUUAAAAGUCCACCAUUUGCUAUUCGCCUCAUUGUCAGAGCUGCUGUUGAAUUUAUGUAAAAAUAUGACGUCUACUUGGAACUCUAGUUUAAAAAAUCCCGUUGACGAGAGUGUAGUUCUUAUAAGAUCUUUAAACAUAACUAUAAGGAUAAGCGCUGACACUCGGUUUCUAAAUGAAGAAGUCAUUUACCUUGCUACUCUAGUGUGAUUAAAGAGCCAAGGCAUCUUCUGAAUGUUAAGAGGUAAGUCAAGUCACGAAAGCCAUGUGCUGGAGGCUCACCUCUGUCCACAAGCUGUACCCUUAUCAGCUGCAGAGGGGCGUUUACAGAGUCUCUGGAAUAGGAAGCACAAUGCUAAACCCUCAUGUAACCUAGAGGGUUUUUAAUAUAUUCUGUGGAACUGACAAAUCAUAUUCAAUACAUACCAUAAAUUAAAUAUUUUCUAAAAAAAAAUCUUGCAUUUGUUUAAAGUAAAAUAAAUGUCAUGUUAGACUUGCCCAAACUUUAAUGAUAGUGGAAGUCUCACAUAACCUUUGUGGUUUUGAUCACUGACACAGAAGUCUAGACUCUGUGUGUGUGUGUGUGUGUGUGUGUGUGUGUGUGUGUGUGUGUUAAGAUUUUUAAAAGGGUUAAGAUUUGCUUUCUCAAAAUGUUAAAAUAUAAUGAUUUUUCAAUCACAAAACAGCUUUUAUUUUAUUUAGUAUUUUUCUGCUGACUUAGGUGGUACAGUUACUGGAGCUUAAUUAUUUGCUUUAACUUACAAGACUGCUAAGCUGUGGAUACGGAUCUUCUGGGUUUCUUUCCCUCCUGAGUUGUAAAGAACUUUAGUAUUUGUCAAGACAGUGAAGAUUAUGUUGUAACCAGUCAUCUGGGUAGAUGCUGAUUUUCCUGCCUACCUCAUCACCAAUUUCUUGAGUGACAUAUAAGUAAAAGGAACACAUUAAAUUUGAAACAAGAGACUGUUGUGAAACAAGGCAAGAUCACAGUCACAUCUUAGCAACCUUGUUGCGUUGUAAAAGUUGCCAUCACAGGUAGUUCUGGCGCUAACCUGGAAACAUUGUGUAACCUUGAUUCUUUUACUGUAAAUACAUCUCCAUCAAUCUGGAUGAGACUAAUCUGUGGAUGGAAUUAUUUAGGUAUUUUCUGAACUGCAAUCAGCAUUUCUAGUUCAAGGCACAGUUGACCCAAUCCAUUGUUCUGUUUGAUCUGCAGUUGUUCCGUUUUGUUUUUAAGACAGGGUCUUCUUAUGUAGCUCUGGUUGUCCAAAACUCACAGAGAUCCUGUCUCUCUGUUUCCUGAGUGUUAGGAAAUAAAAAUGUGCAAUACAAUCCCCAGCCUCUACAUGUGUUUUCUGAGACAGGGUUUCACUAGCUAGCCCAGGCUGUCCUCAAACACAUUAUGUAGCUAAGGAUGGUUCACACCUAUGAUGUUCCUGCCCCAGUCACCCGAGUGUUAGAAUUACAAGCAUGAAUCACAGUAAUGACUACAUCUUUCCUCUUGAUAACUCUUUUUGCUUAUUUGAUCUUGGUUUCUGUGGUAUCAUCUGCCUUUCUUCAAGUGUUCAUAAAGUGUUGAGCUUGAUGAAGAGACUGGAUAGAGAGUAUCAGCAGGAUAUUCUUGCCCAGAUUGUACAUAAAACAAAUUCAUUGAGUCUUAAAACAACCUCUAAGAAAUCACGGUGUGGAAUAUCUAGUUUAAGCACUAACAACAACAUAGAUGCUGCUAAAAUAACUUGGAGCUUGUAAAACUCAGAGGUAAGGUGAGAGUAAAUGGUUUAGUAGGCAUGUGAUGGUUUUAUCCAAUACCACUGUUGAGAUUUUCUGGAAAACAGAAGAAAAAUAUGGUGGAAGUUGAAUAUGUUCAGGUAUUGUUUCAGCCAUACAUCUAAAAAUAGCAGAAGUACAAAAUGAAACUUAAAACUCAUGAGUUGGUGCCUGAGGCUCAGGCCAUCCUAUCUCUGCUGCUAGACCAAUACUAAAAAGACCAAGUAGAGGGCAAAGAGGAAGAAGAAUAAAAAUAACUGUAAGAAAUUAUAAAAGUUAGAAGUUUAUGACCAUUAGUACUUGUUUCUGAGUUUUCAGUAGUUAUUUCAUAACUAAUAACUGUGUUCUUUGUGGAAAAUGUAAUAGUUGCAUACAUUUUGGACAGGUAUGUUUAUGUAUGCCAUGGUGGGAUAAAAGCAUUUUCUGCUCUUUUGUUUGUUUGUGGCUCAUGUCAUUUGUGGGUAUGUCACCUUAUCAUCCAACAGAUUUUGUCACUUUACCAGUGAAAAUUUGAAUUUUUAAUCUAAUUUUUAAACAAAAGAGUACAAGGUAUUCAUUUAUCCAAAAUAUUAAAUGUAUAAUGUGAUAAGUCAGUCUUAGAAUUCUUCAAGGUUUUAGAGUUGUCAAAAGCAAGAAUAUAUUUUGGAAAGCUUUUAGAAAUACUCUAUUUUCCUAUCAUUCUGAAUUUGCCUCCCUUCAGCUUUAUUAAAUAUAUAAGUUUAUUAUUUUACACUGAAACCGCAUGGUUUUAUGUGCUUGUCUUUUAUACGAGUGUAAUGCCCUCUUUUCAGCUCUUUAUAAGUGAUUACAUUACAGUUAAGACAUUCUCUGUUACUUUUAAAAUCAAAUUAUUUAUGGAAAUCUCACCGGGGUAUGAAAAAAAUGACAAUGAAAUAUAAAAGGCUUGUGCAAUAUUCUUUUUACAUCUGAAUACAAUAUUCAUACAAUUAAAAAAUUAAAAUA